GUGCCAGCAGCCGCGGUAAUACGUAGGUGGCAAGCGUUGUCCGGAAUUAUUGGGCGUAAAGCGCGCGCAGGCGGUCUCUUAAGUCUGAUGUGAAAGCCCCCGGCUCAACCGGGGAGGGUCAUUGGAAACUGGGAGACUUGAGUGCAGGAGAGGGAAGYGGAAUUCCAUGUGUAGCGGUGAAAUGCGUAGAGAUAUGGAGGAACACCAGUGGCGAAGGCGGCUUCCUGGCCUGUAACUGACGCUGAGGCGCGAAAGCGUGGGGAGCAAACAGGAUUAGAUACCCUGGUAGUCCACGCCGUAAACGAUGAGUGCUAGGUGUUAGGGGGUUUCCGCCCCUUAGUGCUGCAGCUAACGCAUUAAGCACUCCGCCUGGGGAGUACGGUCGCAAGCUGAAACUCAAAGGAAUUGACGG
rnacentral:rRNA from 1 species